CCUACGGGAGGCUGCAGUGGGGAAUAUUGCACAAUGGGGGGAACCCUGAUGCAGCGACGCCGCGUGAGUGAAGAAGUAUUUCGGUAUGUAAAGCUCUAUCAGCAGGGAAGAAAAUGACGGUACCUGACUAAGAAGCCCCGGCUAACUACGUGCCAGCAGCCGCGGUAAUACGUAGGGGGCAAGCGUUAUCCGGAUUUACUGGGUGUAAAGGGAGCGCAGACGGCUGUGCAAGUCUGGAGUGAAAGGCGGGGGCCCAACCCCCGGACUGCUCUGGAAACUGUAAAGCUGGAGUGCAGGAGAGGUAAGCGGAAUUCCUAGUGUAGCGGUGAAAUGCGUAGAUAUCAGGAGGAACACCGGCGGCGAAGGCGGCCUGCUGGACCGCGACUGACGUUGAGGCUCGAAAGCGUGGGGAGCGAACAGGAUUAGAUACCCUUGUAGUC
rnacentral:rRNA from 1 species